rnacentral:lncRNA from 1 species
UCUUUUCUUGGUUUAUCCAUCUUAAGGCUAAUGGACAAUGUUAAACCCAAAGAAAGAAGGUGAAGGAAGGAAAUGCAGGAUGAAGAAGAAGAAUGAAUGGAUAUAGAGAAAAGCAAAGAUAGACAGGAGAAUGGCUGAGAAAGGACAUUAAGAAACUAACCUGCAUGUCCAAGAGUAGACCUGCUGAUGAAGCUUUAGACUC